rnacentral:rRNA from 1 species
UACAGAGGGUGCAAGCGUUAAUCGGAAUUACUGAGCGUAAAGCGUGCGUAGACGGUUAUUUAAGUCAGGUGUGAAAGCCCAGGGCUCAACCUUGGAAUUGCAUUUGAGACUGAAUAGCUAGGGUGCGGAAGAGGGAAGCGGAAUUUCCGGUGUAGCGGUGAAAUGCGUAGAUAUCGGAAGGAACACCAGUGGCGAAAGCGGCUUCCUGGUCCAGCACCGACGUUCAGGCACGAAAGCGUGGGGAGCAAACAGG